UACGUAGGGUGCAAGCGUUGUCCGGAUUUAUUGGGCGUAAAGAGCUCGUAGGCGGUUUGUCGCGUCGGAUGUGAAAACCCAGGGCUCAACCCUGGGCCUGCAUUCGAUACGGGCAGACUAGAGUAUGGCAGGGGAGACUGGAAUUCCUGGUGUAGCGGUGAAAUGCGCAGAUAUCAGGAGGAACACCGGUGGCAAAGGCGGGUCUCUGGGCAGUAACUGACGCUGGAGGAGCGAAAGCGUGGGGAGCGAACAGG
rnacentral:rRNA from 1 species